CGCGCCGACGCCGGUGUUUUGCAGCCCUGGGCAGCUCGGCAGUCCAGCCCGGCCCGGGUCAUGGUGGUGGGCCGCGGGCUGCUCGGCCGCCGCAGCCUCGCCGCGCUGGGAGCCGCCUGCGCCCGCCGAGGCCUCGGUCCAGCCCUGCUGGGAGUUUUCUGCCACACAGAUUUGCGGAAGAACCUGACCGUGGACGAGGGCACCAUGAGGGUGGAGGUGCUGCCUGCCCUGACCGACAAUUACAUGUACCUGGUCAUUGAUGAUGACACCAAGGAGGCUGCCAUUGUGGAUCCGGUGCAGCCCCAGAAGGUCGUGGACGCGGCGAGAAAGCACGGGGUGAAACUGACCACAGUGCUCACCACCCACCACCACUGGGACCAUGCUGGCGGGAAUGAGAAACUGGUCGAGCUGCAGUCGGGACUGAAGGUGUACGGGGGUGACGACCGUAUCGGGGCCCUGACUCACAAGAUCACUCACCUGUCCACACUGCAGGUGGGGUCUCUGAACGUCAAGUGCCUGGCGACCCCGUGCCACACUUCAGGACACAUUUGUUACUUCGUGAGCAAGCCCGGAGGCUCGGAGCCCCCUGCCGUGUUCACAGGUGACACCUUGUUUGUGGCUGGCUGCGGGAAGUUCUAUGAAGGGACUGCGGAUGAGAUGUGUAAAGCUCUGCUGGAGGUCUUGGGCCGGCUCCCCCCGGACACAAGAGUCUACUGUGGCCACGAGUACACCAUCAACAACCUCAAGUUUGCACGCCACGUGGAGCCCGGCAAUGCCGCCAUCCGGGAGAAGCUGGCCUGGGCCAAGAAGGGAAGAACAGAUUAGUGAGAAACCAUCUUGGCAUCCACCAGACCCCCGCUUGGUGCAGCUCUACCAGCUGAAGAGUCACUCACCGACACCACUGCCCAUAGCAGGAGAAGUACAGCAUCGGGGAGCCCACAGUGCCAUCCACCCUGGCAGAGGAGUUUACCUACAACCCCUUCAUGAGAGUGAGGGAGAAGACGGUGCAGCAGCACGCGGGCAAGACGGACCCGGUGACCACCAUGCAGGCGGUGCGCAGGGAGAAGGACCAGUUCAAGAUGCCCCGGGACUGAGGCCGCCCUGCACCUUCAGCGGAUUUGGGGAUUAGGCUCUUUUAGGUAACUGGCUUUCCUGCUGGUCCGUGCAGGAAAUUCAGUCUUGAUUUAACCUUAAUUUUACAGCCCUUGGCUUGUGUUAUCGGAUGUUCUAAUGCAUAUUUAUAAGAGAAGUUUAAAAAGUAUUUAUUCCCAUAA